rnacentral:lncRNA from 1 species
GGGCAGUGUGCUGGCCAGGAGCUGGGGGCUGCAGUACCUCCAGCUGACUGAGGAGGCAAGCAUUGUGAGGGUGCUGCUGCAGGUCCACAGUCAUCAUUGAGGCCAGGAGCUGCCACACUCCUGAAGAAUGCGUGGGGCUUUGUGGGAUGCUGAGUUGGUUCUGCACAGCAAGGGCCACACUGUCACGUUUCUUGAACACCAUUUCGUAAGGGCCUUCCCCAAACAUUGUGGCAUAUAUCACACAGCCCAGGGACCAGACAUCAGUCUGUUCAUCAAUGACACAGUGACUGCUCAGGGAAGAGCUCUAGGGCUCAGUAGGAGAUGGUGCACUGCUGGGUCGCCUAGUCCGGCAGGGUCAGGGCCUGGUGGGAGCCCUUCAUGUGAGGCAUGCUUGAUUCAUGGCAUCCAAGUGUAUUAAAACUGGCUGCCCCUCGUCUCCAAGCAAGAUAGUGGUGGGCUUCAGGUCCCUGUGGGCCUAACCCUUGGCAUGAAUGGCCUCAAGCCGCUGUAGAUACCCAGCAGGAGCUGAAGGAUUUGAUCCUAAGUCAGGAAGUUGCCAUCGUCCUUCGGCCUUUCUCUCCAUUCCACAGUAUAUCUCUCUUAAAGAACGGAAGCAGCAGCUGGGCCUCAUGCUUAGCACACAGUGCAUGGCCCAUGAUGUCUCAGUCAUCCUCCUCAAGGACUGUCUGAGGCUGCCAAAGGGCUCGUCCAGGAUGAGUGGGCUCUUCCAGGCAAUGCACUAAGCGCCCAGGGAUCAUGAUUCUCAUCUAGAGUAAACAGGUCCUGGUGAUGCCAGUUCAGCAAGGGUGGGGUCAGGUGCCUUAAAGCCUCAGGGCACAUAGCAACGACCAGGAUGCUUCCUCCAACCCCAGCCCACUUUUGGGCAGCUCCUGCUCCCACACCUGUCAGGCCUCAAAGGCAGGGCACAGGGUAGUUUCAGAGGAGGUGCAUGGCUCAGGCCCAUCCCUGGCCUCAGUGCGCAGUGCCUGGGUCGGCCAGCCCGUACUCCUCACUGACCUGGCUCGGCUAUUUCUGUCAGGCUGUUUAUAUGUUAUAGCCAGCCUACAUGGAGGUCCAGUGGGGACUGAAUGGUAAAGGAUUUUUGUACCUUCAAUUGUCAGAGAGUCAUUAUAUCAUACCACAGUAGAGGCUCUUGUUCUCAUAGAUGAAGAGAUGGCAUGAGAAGUUCAAUAACUUACUCAGACUGAUCUACCAGAAAAUAGUGGAGCAGUGUCUGGAGUCUAGGUUUUCCUCAAGUUCAGUGAUUCUCAGCCACUCUAUACUUGUUACCUCUAGGGUAGCAUGAAUCUUUUUUGAUCAUUUUCAAUUUGGGAGAUAAACAUGUAAUUUUAGGAAAGAUUUUUAGGUUGGGAUAUUUAUACAGUAGUGCUGUGGAAAUUUUUAACUUCUUUUAAACAUGGUUAUAUUAUUAAAAGUAUCUGAAAUUAAAUAAUUUUUUUUGGUUUUCCAUCUCUAACACUAUAUAUAUAUUGUAUAAGUCUGAAAGAUAUGGCCAGAAUUGGAGGGGGAGCUC